rnacentral:lncRNA from 1 species
CCAUAGGUUAAAGUUCAUACCGAAAACAAACGAUACUGUGAUAGACUUCGCUGACGAUCCUCGAGCCCGUAACUAGCUUCCAAAAUCUAUGAAAUAGAAAAUAAACACACACAGUAAGCUAUCAAAGCUUAGUAAGUCAUAAGCAAAUAAAACAUUUAAUAACAUAAUCAACUCAAUUAACCAAACCAAUUUAUGCAAUUAUAAUCACUUAUAAUUUCAGGCUUACAAUUUUAUAUAUAACAUAUACUUUCAUAAACAACUUAACAUAGCCGAAUAUACACUUGUAUAUAUAUUACUAAUACAUUCUCCAAUUUCAAAGUCAUGUUGGCAUGUAUAUAUCUGAUUAUUCACAAGCAUUUAUCUAAACAUACUCAUAGAUCAAGCUUUAAAACACUACAGGAAAAUAGACUUUUAGCGGCGUUUUUUUUGCCUUUAGCGGCUUUUUUAAGCGUCGCUAAUACUUUUAGCGGCAUUUUUCCAAGCGCCACAAAAAACGUCAUUAUAUGCAACACCGCUAAAGACCAGGACUUUUAGCGGCGCUUUUUUAAAAAACACCGCUAAAGACCAGGACCUUUCGCGGCGCUUUUAUAAAAACGCCGCUAAAGACCAGGACUUUUCGCGGCGCUUUUUUAAAAAACGCCAUGAAUUUGCCCAGUUUUGCAACAUGUGUUUUUGCACCUAUAUCCAACCCUCCUGCAAGAAAUUCAACCAAAAACAACAAAUAUACCAUGAAAUCCAACCAAAACCCGCAAAUUUAAAUAAUACAAAAUUAUAUGAAAAAUAUAUUAUAUAAAUUGUAAAUGAAUAUUCAAAAUAUUCUUAAAAUAAUGUUAAAAGUUACAAGAAAACAAAUGUUUAAGAUGGCGGAUUUUGAAAUUGCUGGAACAUAGUCAUCAUAGACUGAAGCUGUAGCUGGAGUUCAUUGUAUUUUCUGUUCUGCUCUGCCUCCCUCGCUGCUGCCUCCGCUCUAAGUUGAGAAAUUUGUUCAUCUGUGCUAGCUUGUAUCAAUAAUAAAAUAUAUAAUUUAAUUUCGACCAAAAAUAUUCUGACUCUACCACUACAAGCAAUUUACGCUUAAAAAUUUAUAAAUGUACUAAAACUUCAUAGAUGACUUUUAACAUUAACACAAAAAUGGAAUCUGAGCUUUUUUUUAUGAAGAUGAAAGGAAAGGUAUGGGGUGGAUGGCUAUCCCCUUUCAAUAUCUAAAGCUUCCAAUGCAAUCCCUUAAGUUGAGAUAAUAUUUAAAAAAAAUAUAUUAUUACUAUAUUGAAAUUUAAAAAUAAAUCAUUAAUAAAAUAAAUCAGGCAUUAGAAAGUUCAGAACAAACUAACCUUGUCUUUGCUAAACCAACAGAACAACCUGUAAUAAUCAAGAAAUAGUUUUCAUUCAAUAACAGAGGCAACUAACAAAAUUUUGCCUACAUCACUAUUUAGAGCGCUGAUCUGCCAACAAUAAGCAAACAAAUUUGAUGGAAUGCCCAAACUAACAACGGCUGACAGAUAAGCAACAAAAACAAUGAAAACUGAACUUGCUCACUUGAACAGAGAUUAUUCAAUAUCAAAAGACACCAUCAUAUGACUAAUUGAAGUAAAGAACUGAAAACAUUAUAAAAAUUUAUAGAAAUGCUGAUUAUCAUAAGUUCAUUUGAUGGGUAGUCUAUUAUUCGCAAAUCUAAAACAUUAUCCCUCUUGAGUUUAAUAUGAUUUAUGGAAUUUAACCAGAUGGCCUAAAGAGUUCUAAGGAAGUGCUAAUCACUACAGAAAAAGGUCUAUGCGUACAAGAAGAAAAAUAUGUUUUUCCUCACUAGAGUUCCGAAGAAACCCUCAUCGUCACAAGAAGGACAAUUGACAGUCCACUUCUUUUGUCAACAAGAUAAUUACCCAAAAUAAUUGAAUGUUUAUAUUCCCUUAAAGAAACAUUGAUUAAGAUUGGGCAACAGCUAUGAGAUAGAUAUCACACAUGAUAUGGCUAGAAAAUGAAGUUAACUAUUAAAUAUAUGCUUGUAUGUAUGUACGCACUAAGGGCAAAAAUAAUCAAUUUCAAUUCAGAAACUUCAAAACCCAUACAGCUAAAAGCCAGCAAGUAACUACCCCAAAAAAGAAAAUACAACACAUGAAGUUUAACAGGAGAAUGAUAAAUUUAGAUCUGAUUAACAAUUCAGAUCCAUAAAGUGGUCAAAACUUCACCAAACUAAAGCAAGCAUCAUAAACUACUUACCAAAGAUUGGUCAAGUUCAAGAGAUGCUAAUGAAACAACUCCAGCAAGUGUUUCAAGUGCUAUUCCUACAAGAGUAUAACAUGGUUAACAAAUAACAAUCUCACAACUGGAUUGAACAAUGGAUAUUAAAAGAAGGUAAACAACUUUAUCAAAGACAUAACAUCAGUGAUAGGAGAAAAAUGCUAAAUGGUGGUUGUGCUGAACAUUGUCUUCAAAAAAACAAGUUUUAGAAUCUAGAAAAAUCUUUACCAACAGCAAAGGCAUUAGAUUCAGGAUUAUUAGAACUAAAGCGCCACCUGCCAUCACUCUGGCGUAAAGCCUGAAAACAACUUGUAACAUAAAAUCAACCAUUCAUGAAAAACAUAUAUAGCUAUACAAAUCAGGGCAUAGAAGUUGGCUGAAGUGAAAAAGUUUAUAUAAACAUAAGAUUAGAAGUUUGAGUCAGUUCAAGUAAAGAGACGCCACAAAGGCAAAUGUCUCCAUCCCAACAACUUGUCCCACCAAAAUGCUUUUUGACUCUAGGCUGAAGUAAUAGAAUCUGUUCAAACACAUGAAAUUCAAAUCUUCCGAGAAUAUUUACUACUGGAUGAAUGAUGAAUAAAAAUCCAAAAUGAUUAAAAAAACACAACCAAUCAGAUCGAACAAAAAUCUCAAUACAGCAACAAUUUUUUUUCUCAAUCCCAUAUUAUAUAAGCUAACAAACAUUACUCUUAACACCAUAAAUAGAUCCAAUCAGCAGGUUAUUAGUAAAUAAUAAUGAACAUUAUUAACAGCAAAAAUUAACAGGAUCUUUUGGAAAGUAAAGGACUUUGUUGGCUAAGGUUUCUAGCUCGGAUUAAAGUUUUGAACUUGGAAGAGUUUUGAGGUACUAACAAAAUCCAAAAUCCAACGAAGGAACAUGCUAUAAAGUCGAAACCAAUCUGACAUAUCGAAAUAUAAAAAAAAUGUUUAGCUCCUCGUUUGUUACUAACAAAAUCGUAAAGAAUGACCUAAAUUUUAAAAGAAAAGUGCAGGAGAAAUAGGCACAAUUAAAUAUUCUUCAUUAAUAUUUUAAAGGUCAAGAAAUAUGAUAUAAAACUUAACAUCGAGAUGGAGCUAUAGAAACAUUACCCGAUAGUGUGCUUUUACUCUGUUUCCUUUAUGAGCCUGGAAUUCACAUGAUGGAGGCUUAUACUGUUAAAAGGUGAGAAUGAAAUAGUUAAUAAGAUCACAAGCAAUGAUUAAACUGACCAAGAAGUUAGAAACAAACAAUAACAGUUGAUUAUCUGUACAUAAAAAUAACUAAGGUUACCAAAUGAAACGGAAAAAUGUAAAACCUUACUCUAUUUCAACUCUGCAUUUCAUUUGAUUUCAUGAAGAAACCUUACUCUGUUUAUUCAGAGAUAACAGACAUGAACCAACCAAUACUGCUAACCCUAAAUAAACCAAGGCUUCCCUCUGAAUUCGAGAAGUGUACCAAAAUAAAAUCAGUAAUUAAUUAAAACGAAAGAAAGCUGAACUGCUACAAUUUUUUUAAAAAUAUUAAAUCAGAAGACAAGAGACGUUUCAACAAUUGAUUAGAUCUGGAAAUUAUGACGCAGGAUAAUUAAUAACCGAAAGAAUAUAAUUGGAUAAGAAACUUACCUAAUGCGAAAAGAACCAACAGAAGCACAAUUGGAACCACCUUCAACGCGCAGCUGAUACUCAUUUUGUUUCACUCUCUCUAACUCCGACUAAUUCUCUCUCGACUUAUAUUCUCUGUAAAUUUUGGCGUUGCGAUUUUAUCUAAAGCAAAUGCAAUCCGAAUACUUAAAAUGGGAAAAAGAAAUAAGUACAAAUUUGUAUUUGGGGGAUUUGGUUAACGAGCGGGUCACC